CGCAGCCGCGGUAAUUCCAGCUCCAAUAGCGUAUAUUAAAGUUGUUGCAGUUAAAAAGCUCGUAGUUGAAUUUCGGGGUUAGUAGGUUGGUCAUGCCUCCGGUAUGUACUGAUCUCACUGAUUCCUCCUUCCUUAUGAACCGUAAUGCCAUUAAUUUGGUGUUGCGGGGAAUUUGGACUGUUACUUUGAAAAAAUUAGAGUGUUUAAAGCAGGCUAACGCUUGAAUACAUUAGCAUGGAAUAAUGAAAUAGGACGUUCGAUCUUAUUUUGUUGGUUUCUAGGAUUGACGUAAUGAUUAAUAGGGAUAGUUGGGGGCAUUAGUAUUCAAUUGUCAGAGGUGAAAUUCUUGGAUUUAUUGAAGACUAACUACUGCGAAAGCAUUUGCCAAGGAUGUUUUCAUUAAUCAAGAACGAAAGUUAGGGGAUCGAAGACGAUCAGAUACCGUCGUAG
rnacentral:rRNA from 1 species